UACGUAGGUGGCAAGCGUUGUCCGGAAUUAUUGGGCGUAAAGAGCUCGUAGGCGGUUGGUCGCGUCGGCUGUGAAAACCCGGAGCUCAACUCCGGGCCUGCAGUCGAUACGGGCCGACUUGAGUGUUGCAGGGGAGACUGGAAUUCCUGGUGUAGCGGUGAAAUGCGCAGAUAUCAGGAGGAACACCGGUGGCGAAGGCGGGUCUCUGGGCAACAACUGACGCUGAGGAGCGAAAGCGUGGGGAGCGAACAGG
rnacentral:rRNA from 1 species